GGGAUUCUGAGACUGGAAAGCUUUUGAAGGAGUCUGACAAGGAAAAAGGUCAUCAGAAAACAGUUGCUUCUCUAACCAAAUCAGAAGAUGGUUCUCACUUUCUCACUGGUUCCUUGGAUAAGUCUGCUAAACUUUGGGAUUCAAGAACCCUUACUCUCAUCAAGACUUAUGUGACAGUACGACCGGUUAAUGCUUGCGCGAUGUCUCCCCUUCUUGAUCAUGUGGUGAUUGGUGGUGGACAGGAUGCUGGAAGUGUCACAACUACUGAUCAUCGUGCAGGGAAGUUUGAAGCAAAGUUUUUUCACAAGAUUCUCGAGGAAGAAAUUGGUGGUGUGAAAGGGCACUUCGGCCCAAUUAAUGCCCUGGCUGUCAAUCCAGAUGGGAGAAGCUUUGCAAGUGGGGGAGAAGACGGUUAUGUUCGUUUGCAUCAUUUUGAUCCCGAGUACUUUAAUAUUAAGAUGUGAGUUGG
rnacentral:misc_RNA from 1 species